AUUGAACGCUGGCGGCAGGCCUAACACAUGCAAGUCGAGCGGGGUUUUCGGACCUAGCGGCGGACGGGUGAGUAAUGCGUAGGAAGCUGCCCGAUAGAGGGGGAUACCAGUUGGAAACGACUGUUAAUACCGCAUAAUGUCUACGGACCAAAGUGUGGGACCUUCGGGCCACAUGCUAUCGCAUGCGCCUACGUGGGAUUAGCUAGUUGGUGAGGUAAUGGCUCACCAAGGCGACGAUCUCUAGCUGGUUUGAGAGGAUGAUCAGCCACACUGGAACUGAGACACGGUCCAGACUCCUGCGGGAGGCAGCAGUGGGGAAUAUUGGACAAUGGGCGCAAGCCUGAUCCAGCCAUGCCGCGUGUGUGAAGAAGGCCUUCGGGUUGUAAAGCACUUUCAGCGAGGAGGAAGGGGUGUGUGUUAAUAGUACACACCUUUGACGUUACUCGCAGAAGAAGCACCGGCUAACUCUGUGCCAGCAGCCGCCGUAAGAC
rnacentral:rRNA from 1 species